CAGUGAAGUUAGGCUCUCUAUGUGGUGGGUAUCAGUGUCCCUAUCUCCUAUGCCUCAGUUUCACCACUAAAAAUGAGAAGCUUUAUUUUUUUCCUCUCAGAUCCUUUAGUAAAAAUCUAGGUGAAUAACCUAUUUGCUCAAUUUGGUAUAGGUGCCUAAUACUGGACAAAUUAAUUGUGAUCAGUGGGACAGGGCCAUCUAUGACCACGCCAUUGGAGUGGGUAAAAGAAGGGGCGUUCUAUUCUGAGAAGAAUAGGAAAACUCUAGAAAGGGCUGAAGGAAUUGAAGAGAAAAAUCCUCCCCCAAUAGCAUGCCCCUGCCUAUAUGUCACUGGGAAGUCACAGCAAAUACUGUGAAGAUUACUACAAAUUUAUUCUACAGAGGAUCAGAAUGCCAAAACGCUGGCAGCCAGGAUUCUAUCCUCAAAGCAAGAGACUGGAAGACUUGGAGAACUCAGUCCAGUCAAGAGAAACCUUCUAACAAGAUUGAUAGCAAGAGGUCCUCCCAAAAUGGCUCAUCCUGAUCAUGCUACAGAAAACACCUAGUAGAAGUGCCAAUGGUAAGUACAGACAUUUUGCAAUCUGCUUCUUAGUACUACAGUCUUGAAAAAUGAGCAGUCUCUGACAUAUGAGGUGGAGACCAAAGAUAAAUAAAGCCACUUGAAAGAAAAUAAAAUUACAAUGAUAAAGAAAUAUCAAAAAAUAAUCAUCAGUGUGAGUAGGAAGAUGAGAUAUUAAGUUCAUGAAAUAUGAACAGUUUUUUUUAAAGGGUACACUCAGGGAAUGUAAAGAAAUUCUUAGAAAAUAAAAAUACCAGAAAGUAGACUUCAGUAAAGGAAUUGGAGGGAUUGGGGAGGACGAAAAACUAUAAGAACAUUAGAGGAUAAAUCUAACAGAUCUGAUAUAUGAAAUAAAGGGAAUUUUUAAAAAACUAUAACCAAAAAUUUGUCGAGGAUAAAUUAUAAAAAUAAUAUAGUUGCGGAAAAUUUUCUGAAACUGAAGGACAAGUAUUUUCUGAUUUAAAAAGUCCACUGAGUUUCUAGAAAAAUGGAUUGACUGAAACAGAUCCACACAAAGGGUAAUUAUUGGGAAAUUUCAAAACUCUAAGAAAAAAUGAAAAUUCUAUAAGCUUCCAAAUGGAGGAAAUAUAAAUUUAGUUACAUAAGAUCAGCAAUCACAAUGGCAUCACAACCUCACAACUUACAAAUGACUAUGUAGCAAAGCCUUCAAAGCUACAGACAAAAAUUAUUUCAACUUCAAAUUCUAUGUUCAGAUAAUUUUUCAAGUAAUGAGUGUAGAAUAAAGACAUCUUCAGAUAUUCAAGGGAUCAAACAUCAUUCUGCCCAUACACAAUUUCUAGGGAGUUACUAGAUUGUGUAUUUCUCCAAUGCAAUGUAGUAAACAACAGGAGAAUAGGACACAGGAAAUAGGUGAUCCAAUAUAAGAGAGAGCUACAUAGAAUCCAAAGGGUCAUGGUCAGAUGCCAAGGGGCAGCUGUGCAGCUGGCCCAGAGAGAAGUCUUCAGUCUAGGCUGCAGCAGGACAGAGAACUCCAGAGAAAAGUCUUUAAGAAGAUGGCAUUUUUAAAAAUGCUUGAUAUGUUUUAACGUGAGAAAAAAUUCACACAACUGAGUUGAGGGAAGUUUGGAUUGAAUUAGUACAAAGAAUAAUAAGCAAAUGCAUUAAGAAACUAGUAACUUCAGAGAAAAUUAGAGUGAUAAAAGUAAUCAGAUUAAGCCAUAUGACUAGUUGUGAAUAGAAUUUUUCCAAUCACUAAUAAACACCAAAGAUGUAUCCAGCAA
rnacentral:lncRNA from 1 species